UGCAGUCGCACGAGAACGCUUCAGCUUGCUGAAGUUAGUAAAGUGGCGCACGGGUGAGUAACGCGUGGGUAAUCUACCCCCGAAUUGGGGAUAACAUUGCGAAAGCGAUGCUAAUACCGAAUAAUAUCUUAAGAACCUCGGUUUUUAAGAUCAAAGGUGGCCUCUACAUGAAAGCUUCUGUUUGGGGAUGAGCCCGCGUACCAUUAGCUUGUUGGUAGGGUAAUGGCCUACCAAGGCUACGAUGGUUAGCUGGUCUGAGAGGAUGAUCAGCCACACUGGAACUGACACACGGUCCAGACUCCUACGGGAGGCAGCAGUGAGGAAUUUUGCGCAAUGGGGGAAACCCUGACGCAGCAACGCCGCGUGAGUGAUGAAGGCUUUCGGGUCGUAAAGCUCUGUCAAGUGGGAAGAACCCACAUGGUGAUAAUACCGCCAUGUGUUGACGGUACCACUGAAGGAAGCACCGGCUAACUCCGUGCCAGCAGCCGCGGUAAUACGGGGGGUGCAAGCGUUAUUCGGAAUUACUGGGCGUAAGGAGCGCGUAGGCGGUCUUUUAAGUCAGGUGUGAAAGCCCGGGGCUCAACCCCGGAAGUGCACUUGAAACUAAGGGACUUGAGUAUGGGAGAGGGAAGUGGAAUUCCUGGUGUAGCGGUGAAAUGCGUAGAUAUCAGGAGGAACACCGGUGGCGAAGGCGACUUCCUGGACCAAUACUGACGCUGAGGCGCGAAGGCGUUGGGAGCAAACAGGAUUA
rnacentral:rRNA from 1 species